UAGCCAUAUUUUGGUAGGUAUCGAAGAGUGCAUCUGACAUCCCAUUCAGAAUAUGUCCUCUACAUAUGUAGUCAUCAUUAUCCCACUGUUGUUGAGUACGGACUUCUACCAUAGUUUCAUCAUCGCUCUCUUCUGAUCUUAGUGUACUGAGGACAUAGACAACUUUGAGAGUCAUAGGAGGAAGUGCAUCUUCUUUUGCCAUCUCAAAAAGAUUUCUCCUUUAAAGUGCUCUAA
rnacentral:lncRNA from 1 species